UACGUAGGGUGCGAGCGUUAAUCGGAAUUACUGGGCGUAAAGCGUGCGCAGGCGGUUUUGUAAGCCAGAUGUGAAAUCCCCGGGCUUAACCUGGGAAUGGCAUUUGGGACUGCAAGGCUGGAGUGCGGCAGAGGAGACUGGAAUUCCCGGUGUAGCAGUGAAAUUCGUAGAUAUCGGGAGGAACACCAGUGGCGAAGGCGGCGACCUGGACGGAUACUGACGCUGAGGUGCGAAAGCGUGGGGAGCAAACAGG
rnacentral:rRNA from 1 species